CAGCCGCCGCGGUAAUACGUAGGGUGCGAGCGUUAAUCGGAUUUACUGGGCGUAAAGCGUGCGCAGGCGGCCCGUUAAGACAGGUGUGAAAUCCCUGGGCUCAACCUAGGAAUUGCGCUUGUGACUGGCGGGCUCGAGUACGGUAGAGGGGGGUGGAAUUCCUGGUGUAGCAGUGAAAUGCGUAGAGAUCAGGAGGAACACCGAUGGCGAAGGCAGCCCCCUGGGCCUGUACUGACGCUCAUGCACGAAAGCGUGGGGAGCAAACAGGAUUAGAUCCCCUGGUAGUCAACGCCCUAAACGAUGGGUACUAGCCGUUUGGUGCGCGAUAGCGCUGAGUGGCGAAGCUAACGCGUGAAGUACCCCGCCUGGGGAGUACGGCCGCAAGGUUGAAACUUAAAGGAAUUGGCGGG
rnacentral:rRNA from 1 species